rnacentral:rRNA from 1 species
ACKGCUCAGUAACACGUGGCUAACCUACCCUCGAGACAGGGACAACCCCGGGAAACUGGGGCUAAUCCCAGAUAGAUGAGAACCCCUGGAAUGGGUUUUCGUCCAAAAGGCACUGCGGUUAUGCUCUGCGGUGUCGCUCAAGGAUGGGGCCGCGCCCGAUCAGGCUGUUGGUGAGGCAAUGGCUCACCAAACCUAUAACCGGUACGGGCCGUGGGAGCGGGAGCCCGGAGAUGGGCACUGAGACAAGGGCCCAGGCCCUACGGGGCGCAGCAGUUGCGAAAACUUGUCAAUGCACGAAAGUGUGAACGGGCUACCCCGAGUGCCGUCCGCUGAGGAUGGCUUUUCUCUGCUGUAAGAAGGCGGAGGAAUAAGGAGAGGGCAAGUCUGGUGUCAGCCGCCGCGGUAAUACCAGCUCUCCGAGUGGUAGGGAUGAUUAUUGGGCUUAAAGCGUCCGUAGCCCGCCUCUCAAGUCUUUCGUUAAAUCCAGCGACUAAUCGUUGAACUGCGGGAGAUACUGUUAGGCUAGGGGGCGGGAGAAGCCGACGGUAUUCUUGGGGUAGGGGUAAAAUCCUAUAAUCCCAGGAAGACCACCAGUGGCGUAGGCGGUCGGCUAGCACGCGCUCGACGGUGAGGGACGAAAGCUGGGGGAGCGAACCGGAUUAGAUACCCGGGUAGUCCCAGCUGUAAACGAUGCGGGCUAGGUGUUGGAGCGGCUACGAGCCGCUUCAGUGCCGCAGGGAAGCCAUUAAGCCCGCCGCCUGGGGAGUACGGCCGCAAGGCUGAAACUUAAAGGAAUUGGCGGGGGAGCAC